UCACAAGUUUCAUUUUAAUUCAACCCAAUAUUCAAUUAGAGAAUGCUUGAAUUUUAUGUUACUGUGUCAUUCUUCGUGUUAAGUUGAGCCAUUAUGUCAAAUACAAGUGAGUGGAUGCAAUAUUCAAGUAAAAGUAACACAGGCGUCCUAUUUUGGGCACCCCAUAUAAGUAGAAUACCCAGUAUUACAUAAUUUUCAUUUUCGCCUCUUCUGCUUCUGUAUUCAGACAUUUCUUAGGGCUAAGUCGAUUCUCAUCAUUUCUUAGAUGGACAAUAGAUUUUUCAAGCUAGUAAAUAACAUUUCCUGAAAAGGAGAAUCUUUUCUAUGUCCUUCAUUCUCCUUCAAACUUGUCUAGUAUUAGCCUAUCAAAUGAAUCAAAAAUACAGUCAAAAAGAACAACGGAUCCUUCGACAGACAUCUCAUUGGAGCCCCAAAAUCCAUUUACUUCGACACUAGCAAACCAAACAAAGAAAUUGCUCCUAAACUUGUUUUGUACACUCGAUACUUGAACAGGAGAAGUGGACGGGACAAUGCUUUUCUUACAAACUUGGCUAUUUUUCCAAUACUUGACAGUUAACACUACAGCAAAAGCAAUGGCUCAUCUUAGCUGGUGCUAGGCUAUAAUUGAGGAUGUUGCUUAAAAGACUCACCAGUUUCCCAAAAGAAAAAAAAAACAUUCCAAAAAAAGACUCAGCUCCAUUCAGUUAUCUAAGACGACGACGAAAACAAUGAAUCAUUCUGGCCUGCGCUAGGAGGAGAUGACUAAAAUCGUUUCACACUUACUAGUCAGAAAAUGGGAAAGGCAAUCAGGCUGCUUACAAAUGUGAUUGUGGUACAUCCCAACCUUCUGAN
rnacentral:lncRNA from 1 species